rnacentral:lncRNA from 1 species
UCACCUUUUAAUAAGGAGGGCUUUUCUUUAGGCAUCCCUUUUCUGAAAAGUGGUUAUUUCCUCCAGCACAAAUGUGUUCUUUCUGCAGGAGGCAAAUAUCUCUUUCCAGAAAUCCAUAACCAAAAACAAAACAAAAAAGUGCUCUCUGAAGACAUUACUGUACUUAUAUACACUAAAGGAAAAUAUUUCUUGGGGCACUGUGUUUGGCAGUGGGUGCUUGCCCGAGAUGUGGGAUGCAAAAUCGAGGAUGAUUUGUGAAGAAAUCAUCCUUGUAAAGCUAUUGGUUCUGGUCAUCAGCCUUUAUCCAAUGCUUUGGUGGUGAUGCUGCUGCUCUAUUUGGGAAGUUGGCUGGCUCUCAAGGCAGUCUCUCUCUCUCUCCCUCUCUCUCUCCCUCCCCUGCUCUCCCUCUCUCUCUCUCUCUCUCCUCUCAAAGACUGUUCCACAGUGAAAAUAUGCUCAGUGCAGCUGAGUGCAUGAAUGAAAAAGCCUCGGGUGUCUUCUAGGAAAGCAAAAUGCAGCACAAGACUCAACUUGUCCUGGCCUUCCUCCUGUCCCAGGUGGUGUUCAGAGAUGGGACCUUAUCAGUUACGGUGUCCCAUAUUCAGAGCAUUUCUGCUUAUGAGGCUUGAUUGGAUGGAAAAUUGGCCCCUUGACCUCCAGAGUGUCUCUGUCUUUGGCAUGAAUGAAUUAGAAUCAUUCAUUAACAUAGCUAUGUGAUACUUAUUACUUCAGACUUACCUUUCUCCUUUAACCUUAUAUAUCUUAUAUUAUAAAGAGUGACUCAGGUUUUUGGGCUGUCUUCGAGAUUUCACAUUCUCUGAUGAUGCAAAAUGUAUUUCCUUCAACUUUACCCUAACUUAUCCUCUUUUUGUAAUGGUGUGAGGCUUUAUUGCCCUGAACCAACUUAUCCGAACUGUAUCUGUUGUGUUAGAGCUAAGAAGUCCUUGAGCUCUUAAAAAUUUUAAUUCCUACCAAAUCCAUGACUGGACCUUUCUCAUGUCUCCAUAAUAUCUGCACCAUGGAGAGUUUUUUAAGAUGCUGAAUAGCCAGCCACAUCAAUGCAGUGAUAUAUAGUGUGCGUUUCUUGCUGAUGUAGCUGCUGAACAUAGUAUCCCUUCUCAUGUGCUGACAGAGGAGUCUGAGUGAGUAGAUAAAAACUGAAUAUAUUGAAAAGUGCAAAACAAAUUGGAGAAUGAAAGUAAAAAAACUCAGUUCACUCUACUUCUUCUUUUUGACUUUCUGCCUAGAGGUGGAAAAAAUGUCAUCUUGUAGUAGUUGAUUUAUGGAGAACAACAAAGUGUGUAUUUAGCCCUCUAAGACGGUGUAAGUAACUCCAAAUUGGGGGUGGGAGGUGGGAUACUGAAAUGGUCAGCCUCUCGGUUCUUGCAGGUUUAUCAGCCAUCUGCGAUCCUGACCCAGAAAAUCCAUCAUCUGUCAAUCAGGUCUAUAGAACAAGCACAGGUGUAUCAGUCAGGCAGAACCAUCUGGUAACUAUUAGCAGCAGCAAUACAACAAUCGCUGUGGAAGGGACUCCAGGGUGGAAAUGAAAAAGCCAGCUGAGAAAAGGUAUCACAACUAAGAUGCUUAGGAUCUGGAUGACCCUGGGAGCACAGGUGUCUGUGGAAAUCAUUUGGUAAGAAACAAAGUCUAUUAAUGAUGCCUAUGAAUUGUUGGAUAUUAUCUGGAUAGCUCUGUGUUUUAGGUCAGUGGUCCCCAA